GGCCCAGAGGCGCAGACAUGAGGCGGAUCGCCGGCUUCUUAGAGGGACUAUCGGCUCAAGCCGAUGGAAGUUUGAGGCAAUAACAGGUCUGUGAUGCCCUUAGAUGUUCUGGGCCGCACGCGCGCUACACUGACAGAGCCAACGAGUUCAUUUCCUUGGCCGGAAGGGUUGGGUAAUCUUGUUAAACUCUGUCGUGGUGGGG
rnacentral:rRNA from 1 species